UACAGAGGUCCCAAGCGUUGUUCGGAUUCACUGGGCGUAAAGGGUGCGCAGGUGGGCUGGUAAGUUCGAUGUGAAAGCCCCGGGCUUAACCCGGGAAUGGCAUUGGAUACUACUGGUCUGGAGGAUCGGAGGGGGGACUGGAAUUCUUGGUGUAGCAGUGAAAUGCGUAGAUAUCAAGAGGAACACCAGUGGCGAAGGCGAGUCCCUGGACGAUACCUGACACUGAGGCACGAAAGCGUGGGGAGCGAACAGG
rnacentral:rRNA from 1 species